rnacentral:rRNA from 1 species
GACGAACGCUGGCGGCGUGCUUAACACAUGCAAGUCGAACGGAAAGGCCUGCUUUCCCUUGUGGAUUGCGGGUACUCGAGUGGCGAACGGGUGAGUAACACGUGAGUGAUCUGCCCCCAACUUGGGUAUAAGCCUGGGAAACUGUGUCUAAUUCCCGAUAGGACUGCAGGGUGGUGCCUGUGGUGGAAAACGAUUUUCUAGUGGUUGGGGAUGAGCUCGCGGCCUAUCAGCUUGUUGGUGGGGUAAUGGCCUACCAAGGCGGCGACGGGUAGCCGGCCUGAGAGGGUGGACGGCCACAUUGGGACUGAGAUACGGCCCAGACUCCUACGAGAGGCAGCAGUGGGGAAUAUUGCACCAUGGGCGGAAGCCUGAUGCAGCGACGCCGCGUGGGGGAUGACGGCCUUCGGGUUGUAAACUCCUUUCGACCGCGAGGAAGCCACCUGGUUGGAAGGGUGGUGACGGUAGUGGUAGAAGAAGCACCGGCUAACUACGUG